UUCUUCAGCCAUACUACCCUGAACACGCUCGAUCUCGUCUGACCAUGGAAGCUAAGCAGGGUGGGCCUGGUUAGUACUUGGACAGGAGAUAUAAUGUUAAGUUAAAAGCAGGAUAAA
ensembl:rRNA 5S_rRNA 5S ribosomal RNA